AGCGAACGCUGGCGGCAGGCCUAACACAUGCAAGUCGAACGAAGUCUUCGGACUUAGUGGCGGACGGGUGAGUAACACGUGGGAACGUGCCCUUUGGUACGGAAUAACUCAGGGAAACUUGAGCUAAUACCGUAUGUGCCCUUCGGGGGAAAGAUUUAUCGCCAUUGGAGCGGCCCGCGUCUGAUUAGCUAGUUGGUGAGGUAAAGGCUCACCAAGGCGACGAUCAGUAGCUGGUCUGAGAGGAUGAUCAGCCACAUUGGGACUGAGACACGGCCCAAACUCCUACGGGAGGCAGCAGUGGGGAAUCUUGCGCAAUGGGCGAAAGCCUGACGCAGCCAUGCCGCGUGAAUGAUGAAGGUCUUAGGAUUGUAAAAUUCUUUCACCGGGGACGAUAAUGACGGUACCCGGAGAAGAAGCCCCGGCUAACUUCGUGCCAGCCGCCGCCGUAA
rnacentral:rRNA from 1 species